CAAAACAUGAUCAAAUCGUCAGUAGUAAGCCUGACAUUCUUCUCUUUCCAUAGCAGCACACGUCUGACUUCUGGCAACGUGUGUGUUCCUACUUCCGGAAUCAAACACGCGUGUGUGUACUAAUCAUGGCAGACUUGAUAAACAUACUGCGGAUGAACUGAACUGCUGCUUAUAGAAGCGAGCACGAAGGAAGAGUGACACGUUGGAGCAGACAGAAGCCAAUGGAGAGAGGAAACGUCCCAGGGCCAGCUGGCCCAAACAGACUACUGUCCAUCGAAUUGUCACGGUCCGGGCGAGCGUCAGUGCGCAUUCAUCUUUGCGCUGCGCCGAGCACAGCUCCGAGAGCGCGCAAAGCGCGUCCAAGUCCGGCGACAGCGAACAGCUGCAAUCAAUCGCCGUCAAUCUGCACACCUGGAGCUGAUGAUCAGACCAUCCUUGAAAAGCCUGCACAACCUGCCAUCCCUCGCCGGAACAUAACCUUCU